GCCAUGAUGUCAGUGAACGUCUCCUUCACCGUCUUCUCCAGGAGCCAGCCCUCACUCUCACUUUCCGGGUCCUCAGGGUUCGACAGUGUAGACAGGGAGCUGUUGACGUACUGGAGGCCAAUCGUCACUCCAAUCUGAGAAACAUAUGGAAGUGAACUGGGACGACAACAACAGCAGAUGUUGGAGCCCACAGGUGAGCGGCACCAGAACAUCUGUGUGAGCUCCUGACCUCCAGCAUGGUGACCAGCAGCACCAGUGCUCCGAUGGUGUUCAUCAAGCCACCGUAGUAGGAGAGUAGAGCUUCACGGCAGCCGCGCUUCCACACAUUGAGCUCCUCUGUGUAGUGGUCGUAGCUGUAGUGGGCUGAGUUGUUGGUCAUCUGCAGCUGGAUGCACGGCCGAGGGGACGAUGGGUUGCAACAGCUGAAGGGAACGCCAUCCAUCAGAUACUGACCAUCCACGUUGCUGCCAAUGCGACUAAAGAGAGCAAGUAGAGGGUCAGUGUCAUGGUAGCAGGGGUCAAAGGUCAUCAAGGGUUGGGGGGGUUUAAAAUAAGUCAUGCUUUAGGGUCAAAUGACAGCAUUUUAUUUGAAGGCUCUUUAUUCACAUAUGUCAUUAGAUGACAUUUUUAUUUGAGAUUGCACUAGAGCGUAAUAAGCAUCAUAAAGUAUUCCACAUGUGUGAUAGUAAACCAAAACAUUUGACUUCCAAAAUAUGAAUGGCCCGAGACUUUGGUGUCUCAAAACCUUCUAGAAAGACCUUUCAUUAAAAAAAACAUUCUACAAAGCUAAACGCACAUCUUGAUAUACAGGUUUUAGGUCAUACUUUCUCAUCCAUGUUCAUUCAUUCACACAUGAGGCAAAUGAAUCUUUAAAUACAUUAUUGAUGAUUGAGCUCUAAUGUGACUGAAUAUCAAAUAAACUUGCUUGUUUGUUUGUAAAAUACCUAAAGGUUUGAAAUAAACUUGAGAAAUGCAGCCAGCAGACAUUUACUCCCAUCAGGCAGCGUCAAGUGUGAUCCAGUCAGAUGAGAGUUUACACUCUUGUUUGGUAGCAUGGUGGUACAGCGCCUGAGUACUUAUAACUGUUUUUCCUGGGGAUGUUCAACGCGUCACGAAAAUUAUCCUCAUGAGGUAAUGAAAAGAGCAGCAAUGUUUGUGUUGCAUCAUACACUUCAGUUGGUACCACACAGAACCGCUGAAAUUUCAUGGAACUUUCACAGUCAACAACUUUAAACAAAUACCGUGUUCUUGAUGUUAAACCCCUGGUGUGUUAAAUUAGCAGGGAUUGGACCUCUGCCCGACCCCGACUGAUUAGACCAGGCAGGUCCUGGAUGACACAGGGCCGUAAUCCAUCAGAUUAAACUUCAGCCUGAGAAUAAAAUGGGUUUUGCAUUUUAAAACUGAAUGAAAUGUUGGUUCAAAUGUUGUUGCACAAAAGAAAAAUCAAGAUAACAAGAAUAGCUGGUCUGGGAUGUUCCUCUUCUAAUCCCGCACAUACUUGUGUGACCUGCUCUUCUAAUCCCUUAAACUCUGUCCAUUUUCUUAAAAGUGCCUAGUAACCUUCUUCUGCCUCAUGUCCUUAAUGUUUCUGCGACAGUAAUCCUGAGUGGACGAAAGUGAAUAAUAGGUUCAACCUGACCUGCCAUCACCCGACACGACAGUACAGGGUUGUUUCAUCCACCAUAAUUGUCUCAUUGUUUCUCUCAAUCAUGUUCCUCAUUUCCUCUCUUCUUUAGUUUCUUGUUCUACAUAUUUAACAACUCAUAUUAAAUAAAAUGCAUGUGUUUGGAGUGUGUAUCGCUUGACAGCUUUUUAAUCAAAAUUUCCCCUUAGUCAUUUCUAAUUUUUCUGGUUUCUUUUUCAUCAUUUUAUUAUAAACAUGAAAUGAACAUGUUAUAACUGCCUUCUUACAUACUAUCAAAUUCUAUUUCUUGUUGUAUUGUCAUAACUAUUUUGGCUGUUUCCCACACGACUUUAACAUUUUCGUCUGUGGAUUUUUUUGCCACAGGCGUCACUCAUCUUAGAAGAAGGCUGAAUGUAAACCACUGGACAUGACUUAAUUUUUACUCUCAACUGACUCCUUUUCUUUUUCAAGUGUAUUACUGAAGAUUAUUAAAGGG